GACGAACGCUGGCGGCGUGCCUAAUACAUGCAAGUAGAACGCUGAAGAGAGGAGCUUGCUCUUCUUGGAUGAGUUGCGAACGGGUGAGUAACGCGUAGGUAACCUGCCUUGUAGCGGGGGAUAACUAUUGGAAACGAUAGCUAAUACCGCAUAACGAUGGAUGACACAUGUCAUUUAUUUGAAAGGGGCAAAUGCUCCACUACAAGAUGGACCUGCGUUGUAUUAGCUAGUAGGUGAGGUAACGGCUCACCUAGGCGACGAUACAUAGCCGACCUGAGAGGGUGAUCGGCCACACUGGGACUGAGACACGGCCCAGACUCCUACGGGAGGCAGCAGUAGGGAAUCUUCGGCAAUGGGGGCAACCCUGACCGAGCAACGCCGCGUGAGUGAAGAAGGUUUUCGGAUCGUAAAGCUCUGUUGUAAGUCAAGAACGAGUGUGGGAGUGGAAAGUUCACACUGUGACGGUAGCUUACCAGAUAGGGACGGCUAACUACGUGCCAGCAGCCGCGGUAAUACGUAGGUCCCGAGCGUUGUCCGGAUUUAUUGGGCGUAAAGCGAGCGCACGCGGUUUGAUAAGUCUGAAGUUAAGGCUGUGGCUCAACCAUAGUUCGCUUUGGAAACUGUCAAACUUGAGUGCAGAAGGGGAGAGUGGAAUUCCAUGUGUAGCGGUGAAAUGCGUAGAUAUAUGGAGGAGCACCGGUGGCGAAAGCGGCUCUCUGGUCUGUAACUGACGCUGAGGCUCGAAAGCGUGGGGAGCGAACAGGAUUAGAUACCCUGGUAGUCCACGCCGUAAACGAUGAGUGCUAGGUGUUGGAUCCUUUCCGGGAUUCAGUGCCGCAGCUAACGCAUUAAGCACUCCGCCUGGGGAGUACGACCGCAAGGUUGAAACUCAAAGGAAUUGACGGGGGCCCGCACAAGCGGUGGAGCAUGUGGUUUAAUUCGAAGCAACGCGAAGAACCUUACCAGGUCUUGACAUCCCGAUGCUAUUUCUAGAGAUAGAAAGUUACUUCGGUACAUCGGUGACAGGUGGUGCAUGGUUGUCGUCAGCUCGUGUUGUGAGAUGUUGGGUUAAGUCCCGCAACGAGCGCAACCCCUAUUGUUAGUUGCCAUCAUUCAGUUGGGCACUCUAGCGAGACUGCCGGUAAUAAACCGGAGGAAGGUGGGGAUGACGUCAAAUCAUCAUGCCCCUUAUGACCUGGGCUACACACGUGCUACAAUGGUUGGUACAACGAGUUGCGAGUCGGUGACGGCAAGCUAAUCUCUUAAAGCCAAUCUCAGUUCGGAUUGUAGGCUGCAACUCGCCUACAUGAAGUCGGAAUCGCUAGUAAUCGCGGAUCAGCACGCCGCGGUGAAUACGUUCCCGGGCCU
rnacentral:rRNA from 1 species